rnacentral:rRNA from 1 species
GAUGAACGCUAGCGGCAGGCUUAACACAUGCAAGUCGAGGGGUAUGCCGAUUUAUCGGCAGAGACCGGCGCACGGGUGCGUAACGCGUAUGCAAUCUACCUUUCACAGAGGGAUAGCCCAGAGAAAUUUGGAUUAAUACCUCAUAGUAUUAUGAAAUGGCAUCAUUUUAUAAUUAAAGUCACAACGGUGAAAGAUGAGCAUGCGUCCCAUUAGCUAGUUGGUAAGGUAACGGCUUACCAAGGCAACGAUGGGUAGGGGUCCUGAGAGGGAGAUCCCCCACACUGGUACUGAGACACGGACCAGACUCCUACGGGAGGCAG